rnacentral:sRNA from 1 species
AUGGAGAUCCAGUUCAAUUAUGAAUCUCAGGAACACCACCUUCUGUCAGAUGGUGAGAACAAGACCAAGAUUGGAAAGCCAGCUUCAGAGGAGGGAAUUACAGCAAAAAUUGAACCAUUGACAGAAGAGUCUAGCAGUCUCAGAGAGAAUGUUCUCCAGGAUUCUGAAGGCAGAGAAUUCUGUGAAUUUGGGGAUAAAUUAAAUGAAAAAGAUCAGAACGUCUUUAAAAGGAGACCUCAUAACUGUGACGAAUACGGGCAAAGCUUUGUUUGGAGUACAAGCCUUUUUAGGCAUCGAAAAACGCACUGUGAGAAACCUUAUGAAUGUGAUAAGUGUGGAAAGGCCUUUAGUGUGAGCUCAGCCCUGGUUCUGCAUCAGAGAAUUCACACUGGGGAGAAACCUUAUUCCUGUAAUUGGUGUAUUAAAAGUUUCAGUCGGAGCUCAGACCUUAUUAAACACCAAAGAGUCCACACUGGUGAAAAACCUUAUAAAUGUGAUGAGUGUGGGAAAGCCUUCAGUCAGAGCUCAGAUCUUAUUAUACAUCAGAGAAUCCAUACAGGAGAAAAACCCUAUCAAUGCAGUCAUUGUAGUAAAAGUUUUAGCCAGCGCUCAGAUCUGGUUAAACAUCAGAGAAUCCAUACUGGAGAGAAGCCUUAUACUUGUAACCAGUGUAACAAACAUUUUAGUCAGAGUUCUGAUGUGAUAAAACAUCAAAGAAUCCACACUGGGGAGAAACCAUAUAAAUGUGAUGUGUGUGGGAAAGCCUUCAGUCAGAGCUCAGAUCUUAUUCUGCAUCAGAGAAUCCAUACUGGGGAGAAACCAUAUCCAUGUAAUCAGUGUAGCAAAAGUUUCAGUCAGAAUUCAGACCUUAUUAAACAUCGAAGGAUCCACACUGGAGAGAAACCCUAUAAAUGUAAUGAGUGUGGGAAAGCUUUUAAUCAGAGCUCAGUCCUUAUUUUACAUCAGAGGAUUCAUACUGGAGAGAAACCCUAUCCCUGUGAUCAAUGUAGCAAAACCUUCAGUAGGCUUUCAGAUCUUAUUAAUCAUCAACGAAUUCACACUGGAGAGAAGCCUUACCCAUGUAAUCAGUGCAAUAAAAUGUUUAGUCGAAGAUCAGAUCUUGUUAAACAUCACAGAAUUCAUACAGGUGAGAAACCCUAUGAAUGUGAUGAAUGUGGGAAAACCUUUAGUCAGAGCUCCAACCUUAUUCUUCAUCAGAGAAUCCACACUGGAGAGAAACCUUAUGCAUGUAGUGAUUGUACUAAAAGCUUUAGUCGCCGUUCAGAUCUUGUUAAGCAUCAAAGAAUACACACUGGAGAGAAACCAUAUGCAUGUAAUCAGUGUGAUAAAAGUUUUAGUCAAAGCUCAGACCUCACUAAACAUCAGAGAGUACACUCUGGUGAAAAGCCUUAUCAUUGCAAUAGUUGUGAGAAAGCCUUCAGUCAGAGUUCUGACCUUAUUCUUCAUCAGAGAAUUCACACUGGAGAAAAACCAUAUCUGUGCACACAGUGCAGCAAAAGUUUCAGUCAGAUCUCAGACCUCAUUAAACACCAGAGAAUCCACACUGGGGAAAAACCAUAUAAAUGCAGUGAGUGCAGGAAGGCUUUCAGUCAGUGCUCAGCUCUUACCCUACACCAGAGAAUCCACACUGGGGAGAAACCAAAUCCAUGUGAUGAGUGUGGCAAAAGCUUUAGUCGGCGUUCUGAUCUCAUUAACCAUCAAAAAAUACACACUGGUGAAAAGCCGUAUAAGUGUGAUGCAUGUGGGAAAGCCUUUAGCACAUGUACUGAUCUUAUUGAACACCAGAAAAUCCAUGCUGAGGAGAAACCCUACCAGUGUGUUCAGUGCAGCAGAAGUUGUAGCCAACUCUCUGAACUUACUAUUCAUGAGGAAGUCCAUUGUGGAGAAGACAGUCAAAAUGUGAUGAAUGUGAGAAAACCUUUAGUGUAUACACCAACUCUAUUCAGUACCAGAGACACCGUACCAGGAAAAAAUCUAAUGAAUGCUGUUGAUUAUUGA